AGGGGUGUCGUUCAGUGGUAGGACCGCGGUCUCCAAAACCGCAGACGGGAGUUCGAUCCUCUCCACCCCUG
rnacentral:tRNA from 1 species